GACGAACGCUGACGGCGUACCUAACACAUGCAAGUCGAAGAUAGCAAUAUCUUGGCGCACGGGUGAGUAACGCGUAGACAAUCUGCCCCUAUCUCUGACAUAACACUUGGAAACGGGUGAUAAUAUCAGAUGAGGUGGAAACAUCAAAGUAUUUAUAUGGAUGGGGAUGAGUCUGCGUCUGAUUAGCUAGUUGGUAAGGUAACGGCUUACCAAGGCGACGAUCAGUAGCUGGUCUGAGAGGACGAUCAGCCACACUGGAACUGAGACACGGUCCAGACUCCUACGGGAGGCAGCAGUGGGAAAUCUUGCGCAAUUGGCGAAAGCCUGACGCAGCCAUGCCGCGUGGAUGAUGAAGGUCUUAGGAUUGUAAAAUACUUUCACCGGUGAAGAUAAUGACUGUAGCCGGAGAAGAAGCCCCGGCUAACUUCGUGCCAGCCGCCGCCGUAAUAC
rnacentral:rRNA from 1 species